rnacentral:rRNA from 1 species
AGUCAGCCAGGAUGUUGGCUUAGAAGCAGCCAUCAUUUAAAGAAAGCGUAUUAGCUCACUGGUCGAGUCGGCCUGCGCGGAAGAUGUAACGGGGCUAAACCAUGCACCGAAGCUGCGGCAGCGAACGUAUCACUUAAAGCGAUUCAGCGGGUUACGAUUGACGGAGCGAAGCGACGUCAAAGCGUAUACAAAGUCGAGUCGGUUUAAGGAUACGUUCGUUGGGUAGGGGAGCGUUCUGUAAGCCUGUGAAGGUGUGUCGUGAGGCAUGCUGGAGGUAUCAGAAGUGCGAAUGCUGACAUAAGUAACGAUAAAGCGGGUGAAAAGCCCGCUCGCCGGAAGACCAAGGGUUCCUGUCCAACGUUAAUCGGGGCAGGGUGAGUCGACCCCUAAGGCGAGGCCGAAAGGCGUAGUCGAAGGGAAACGGGUUAAUAUUCCCGUACUUGGUGUUACAGCGAAGGGGGGACGGAGAAGGCUAUGUUGGCCGGGCGACGGUUGUCCCGGUUUAAGCGUGUAGGUGUGUGUUCCAG